GCAAACUUGGUCAUUUAGAGGAAGUAAAAGUCGUAACAAGGUCUCCGUAGGUGAACCUGCGGAGGGAUCAUUACAGAGUUCGCGCCCCCCGUUGGGCGGACCUCCUACCCAUUGUUAUCGCUACGAUUGUUGCUUUGGCGGGCCGCUGCGCCCGCCAGAGGCCCUAAAGACUCCAUAUUAUCAGUGUCGUCAGAGUACUCUGUGAAUAGUCAAAACUUUCAACAACGGAUCUCUUGGCUCUGGCAUCGAUGAAGAACGCAGC
rnacentral:misc_RNA from 1 species